CUGUCUUCUAACCUAUGGCUAAGAUCAAGUGUAGUAUCUGUUCUUAUCAGUUUAAUAACAUUUUUUUCAUUAGAAAUUACAGUCUUCAGAGAAAUGGAGCAAUUCUA
rnacentral:snRNA from 1 species